rnacentral:rRNA from 1 species
GAUGAACGCUAGCUACAGGCUUAACACAUGCAAGUCGAGGGGAAACGAUAGAGAAAGCUUGCUUUUUCUAGGCGUCGACCGGCGCACGGGUGAGUAACGCGUAUCCAACCUGCCCAUCACUUGGGGAUAACCUUGCGAAAGUAAGACUAAUACCCAAUGACGUCUCUAGAAGACAUCUGAAAGGGAUUAAAGAUUUAUCGGUGAUGGAUGGGGAUGCGGCUGAUUAGCUUGUUGGCGGGGUAACGGCCCACCAAGGCGACGAUCAGUAGGGGUUCUGAGAGGAAGGUCCCCCACAUUGGAACUGAGACACGGUCCAAACUCCUACGGGAGGCAGCAGUGAGGAAUAUUGGUCAAUGGACGAGAGUCUGAACCAGCCAAGUAGCGUGCAGGACGACGGCCCUAUGGGUUGUAAACUGCUUUUAUAAGGGAAUAAAGUGGGAGUCGUGACUCUUUUUGCAUGUACCUUAUGAAUAAGGACCGGCUAAUUCCGUGCCAGCCGCCGCCGUAA